rnacentral:tRNA from 1 species
GUCCCCGUAGUAUAACAAAUUACACUGGUCUUGUAAACCAAAAAUGAAGAAUAUUCUUCCAAGGAUA